ensembl:lncRNA
ACAACUACAAGGAGUUGAUGGGGAAAAAAGAAGCCUUCCUCAAGGAUGAGGACAUCUGGCACAUGGCAGUUGCAAGAAGGACCACACCUUGUACCACAACACAUGAUGGAAGCAAACCAAAGAAAAAAAGAAUUACGGCAACUUCCAGUCUCACUUCAGAUGAUGAUGAAACACAGAUUGACCCAUCACGAGUUCUUCAAACAAAUAAGCCGAAGAUGACAAAGGCUGCAAGAGACCGAGCCCUUGCCCAACUGAAAUCCUCGCUGCUGAGAAGAAAGCAAACAACCUCCACCCCCUUGACAAAUGAAGACGAUACAGACAUAGACACCAAUGUGGACUUAUUUGACCCACCUCAGGCUUCGGGAUCAAGUGACCUCUCCCAAGGGGAAAGUGAAGAGGAGAGUGUCCUGAUGGAUCAGCCCAGAUCCAGUGUUGGCAUGCAACAGGAAGUGAUGGAUGCUCUGAAAGGAAACAUUUCAUCCAAAAUUGUUGCAAACUACUUGACUGUUAGCAGUUUUGUCUCUGUAGUCUCGACCCACAUACUGUACUAUUUCCCUUGGCAACAAGGGGGUGCAGGUCAGCAAAACCUGUUUCAAAAGACUCAACCGAACAAGAAUGUCCCUGUUCACACAGGACUUAGCUGUGCUCCUCUUUGGGCGGGAUGUUUUGGCAUCCUCGACUCUCACAGGAAAACCAGGGCUUACUGGAACAGUGAAAGAGCAGUUAAAUCCGGAAAAGCUGAGUGCCCUUGUUGAUACAGUUAUUGCUGAAUUUCCAGGAACAAAUGUGUCUGAUGUGAGGGCAGUGAUUCAGAGAAAAUGUAACAAUGAGAAUUUUGUGAGCAAAAAGAAACAGUAAGCAGUAAAUCAGUAACUGUUUGUAAUAAUUUCUUGUUUGUUUUUUCUUUGGUGGACAUACAUUUUGAGUUUAAACAAACUGUGUAAAAGUUUAAACAAUCUGUCCACCUAUGUAAAAGUUUCAACAGUCUGUUUAAUGUUUAAUGUUUUUUAAUGUUUUCAAAAGUCAGUUUCAGUUUAAUGUUCAUCCCUGUCAUUACUAGCAAUGGUACGAUGAAGAGAAACAGUUUGAAAAUGUUGUUAAAGAUGUAUUUUGUACCCUGUCAUGCCGUGCAUGUUAAAAAUAAACGUUAUUUCUACC